rnacentral:lncRNA from 1 species
AAAGUGGUAUUUUCUGCUUGUUCAGUUUUUCUUUUCACAUAUUUAUUUUAAACUCAAAUCUUGAUAAAUAUAUAUGAAGCAAAAAAUUUAUUUAAGGAUUUUUUUUCUUCUUAGGAUAAUUUGUUUUAGAAGGAAGUGCUUAACCUUGCCACUCAGUUUCUUUAAAAUUGUGUUUUGUUUCAUUUUCUGUUUGCUCUCAUCAGUGAGGAAGCUCCAUGUUCGUCUAAUAUUGGGAAUCAAGCUGGGCAUGGUUAGAGGUCAUGCGGAGCGUCGUUCUGAUCUCCAGGGCUGGAUGAGUGCGAAGAACAUGUUUAGAUUUGCUGGCUUCUUUUGUGUGUGGAUGUAUAGUGGCCCGAGAACACAAGAGAGUGACAAACAGGCUGAAAAGUGGAGUGAUGACGACCCAGAAGGGAAGGAAGGAGAGCUGCCGACAAAGCAGGCAACCUUCGGGGAGAGACCGGGGCCCAUCUCAUGUGCGACAAAGCCAGCCAAGAUUCAAGGUCACUGUGUUGGAGCGUCUGCGUCCUGGCAGAGCGCCCUCCGCCUGACCAGGGCCGUUCAAGUUGGUAAACGGGCACCGGAAUGCAGUUCGUCAUCCUACCCAACGCCCCCCUUCUGGUCUCGCCUUGUGUCUGAUCGUGUGAUGUUUCCAGCAGGUGAAUGGAGCUCCUCGUUCUCUGGUCUUCUCUGAAGGUAAAAUUGGCUAGAAUUGGUUGGACGGCUGGGAUUAUUUGCCAUAAAGCAGUCAACUUCUGCCAAGGAUUGUGCAACCCGCUCACUUCCCUGAAUGUCAGGACACUAGGAAAUAACCCUAAAUUGAUUUCCCUACUCAAACACAUUGACA